GACGAACGCUGGCGGCGUGCUUAACACAUGCAAGUCGAACGAAGAGCGACGGAAGCUUGCUUCUAUCAAUCUUAGUGGCGAACGGGUGAGUAACGCGUAAUCAACCUGCCCUUCAGAGGGGGACAACAGUUGGAAACGACUGCUAAUACCGCAUACGAUCUAAUCUCGGCAUCGAGGAUGGAUGAAAGGUGGCCUCUACAUGUAAGCUAUCACUGAAGGAGGGGAUUGCGGCUGAUUAGCUAGAUGGAGGGGUAACGGCCCACCAAGGCGAUGAUCAGUAGCCGGUCUGAGAUGAUGAACGGCCACAUUGGGACUGAGACACGGCCCAGACUCCUACGGGAGGCAGCAGUGGGGAAUCUUCCGCAAUGGACGAAAGUCUGACGGAGCAACGCCGCGUGAGUGAUGACGGCCUUCGGGUUGUAAAGCUCUGUUAAUCGGGACGAAAGGCCUUCUUGCGAAUAGUGAGAAGGAUUGACGGUACCGGAAUAGAAAGCCACGGCUAACUACGUG
rnacentral:rRNA from 1 species